UACGUAGGGGGGCAAGCGUUGUCCGGAUUUAUUGGGCGUAAAGAGCUCGUAGGCGGUUCGACAAGCCGACGGUGAAAUCUCCACGCUCAACGUGGAGGGGUCCGUCGGAACUGUCGUGACUAGAGUCCGGUAGGGGGAGUGUGGAAUUUCCGGUGUAGCGGUGAAAUGCGCAGAGAUCGGAAGGGACACCCCGUAGCGAAGGCGGCACUCUGGGCCGGUACUGACGCUGAGGGAGCGAAAAGCGUGGGGGGAGCAAAACAGGG
rnacentral:rRNA from 1 species